CAUAAAUCUCUGCUCCUGCCCUGCUGCUAAUGGGCUGCAGGAUCCUCAGGUGGUGUAAACUGAUGUGACUGCCCUGUGAUGAGGGUUCUGGCAUUGAAUUAGCCCAGAGCCUCCAACACAAAUAAACCCAAGCAUGGAGUAAGAUCAUAGGAGGGAGCUGACCAAGAGGAUGCUGAUGCUGCUCCCACUGGGGAUGACUUAUGGGUCCCAUUUAGAACCUUGAGCCAGUAAUUGCAGAGAGGAUCUGGAGGAGCUGGAGCCACUUGAGAUGAGUGACUUGGCCCCAGGAAGCCUGUGAGAAUGUAGGAGAUAUGCUGGUAAAACAAGAUUGGAGAAGCAAGACCAGCAUGACAGAGCUAUUCCUGCCUGUCAGUUCUUUCUAAUCCCGAGGCUGCAGAAACAGCUGGAGCUACUGCUUACACUCCUUUCUUCAGAGACCCAGAGCCCUCACAAAGACGGUCUUGAAGCACAUCCAGCUGAGGUGUGAAGCAUCCUAACACUGUGAGCAGGACCAGCCCUGUGCUGUCACCAGCACGAAUUGUGGGACACUGCUGGAGGCUGAAUCUUGAGUUCAGGAACUUUUAGGUUGGUUUCUGGCUUGCUGUGACUCUCCCUGUGCAGAGCAUGACACAGUGAAGGCAGGGCCAGGGCAGAGCUGCUCUUGCUGGCUGGCAGAGCAGGGGUUGCAGAGCAGCAGAGCUUUAGCAGGCACUGCAGAAUUGUCUCUCCUUGGCUGUGAGUUUGAAUCCAUCUCAGGACAGCCAUGUCUGAAGGAUUCUCCUCCAACAGUUUUACUUGCCACGUGUCUGUAGUUCUGCUCCAUUCCUCCAGUGCAGUGAGAUCCUCAGCAUCUUGUCUGGUGGACACAGGGCUUUCUGUAGGAAAGGUGCAUCAACAGGGGAGUGGAGAUCCACAUGUGGGAGAAAGGCCAUGGCAGCUGCCCAGGCAGAUCAGACCCAUCGUGUUCCCAAGUCAGAACCAUACCAGGGGCAGAGAGCUUUCCUGUCUCUGACUUUCCUGUGCCUGAGUCAAGCCCAUUGUAACCAUGUGUAACCCCAUGUAACCGUGGCAAGCUGAGUGUUGCCUUCAUCACACCAUGGCUGUCUGAAUCCCAAGCCUGGCUGGGACCUGCCAAGCCAAGGCAAGAUUGGCCCCACAGCCCUGCAGACGGGGCCAGUUGGUAUGAAACCUGUGGCCUCUGGGUAAGUACUGACUCAGAUAACAAAGCUAUUUCCAAGACCAUUUGUGCUGGGCAGGAGCAGAUGUAGAAAUGUUCUAAUCUCCUCUCAAAUGACUUGGUUGAGAAGAAAAGAGCCCCAGAGCAUCACAGGUCUAACAUUUGAUUUCCCCAUCAAGCCUGCUCAGCAUCUUGCAGGAUUUGCCCUCCUGCAUCCUGCCUUUUAAUUGCUGACUGAUUGUAAUAUAGGAUUUUAUUUUGCCUAUAAUGACUCUUGGGGCCCCCAGAUGUUCUCCUCAAGUGUGGUUGCGUCAGCACUAGAGAUUGAAUGACUGAUACCAGCAAUUUUUACAGCUUGAAAGAAGAGAAAUAUGUGAAGGGGAUUUAAUUUAGCUCCAAUAUUGUGUCUUCAUCUUCAAGACUCUACAAGAAAAUGACACCAAAAGGUUAUUUUACAAUGAGAGGAGGGAGAAUUAGCCCGAGAGAGGGAGAGAUCACCAGGCUGGCUUUCUAAUAUCAGUUCAUUACAGAGAACACAUUUGCGCAGCCACUUCACUGCUGCUGUUAAUUUAAACCAGGAUGAUUAAAAGCUGUAAUUGCACCAUUUAAAAUAAAUGUCCACUAUCUGGAUUAUUAUAUUUUUAAUUAGUGUGUCUCUGUCGAAUGUUUUUAUCCCUCUGAUUGAUUUGUUUAUACUGUAUUUAUUUAUAAUUCCUUGAUCUCCCUGACCCUGCAACCUCCUGAGAACACAGUUUGAUUGUGAUUCCAGCAAAUGGAAGAGGACUGAACCAGGAAAGAGCAAAAGGUAUCAGGUCAGCUUUCCCUUAUGAGAUCUUUGCAGCUCUCCCUCUUUGUCUCGCGACUCAGGUGCUCUUCUGCUCUUUUGUCUUCCCCAGGGCUGUGGGGGAAGAUGAACAGCCUGGAGGACUGUCUGGCUGGGAGGCAGGAGAGGGGAAAAUUGAAUUGUUAUCCAGCAAAGCUCAGCCUGUGGAGCUGGCAAGAGCAUCAUCCUGUGUGUUAGGACCCAUUCCUUAACCACUGCUUCACAGGCAGGAACCUGCUGCUGUGGUGUAAGUUCCAGAAUCAGCACUUAGACCCAUGAUACCCCAUUGCAUGUUGUUGUCUGCCUGGGGGAAGGAGCUGCAAGCAAGAAUGACUUGCAGAGAUCAUGAUCUGGAUGCUCAGGGCACUCCUGAGAGCUGCUCUGGGGCUGUGCUGAGAGAACACUGCUGCUGAGAAUAUUUGAAAGGCUGCUUGCUCCUGUAGGACACCAGGGCAUCUCUGCUGAUGUGUUUAUCUCCCAUCACAUGCAGCAUCUGCAGGACAGGGACUGUCACUGCUCUGACUUUGUUCUGCACCCACUACAGGAGGCUUCUGAUGGCUGGCAAGGGCUCUGAGGCACUCUGAUAACAUGAAUGCAUAGUUUGUCUGCCAGGCAAAUAUUGCAAAACUUCCAAGCAUUUGACUUUCCCCCGUUUCCUACGGUCUCUGGAACCCUUAAGGAAUGGAUCAGGCCUUCAGGCAUAAUAGAAAAGGAGUCUGCACGUGUCCCCUGGCUGCACAUAGUGUGUGGCCUCACCAUAUUAGUUCUGUCAGAUUUUUAAUGGCUUUUCCUCGAGCACUGAGCCAGAUGCAGCACUGCAGCUGCUGUGUGGGGCAGGGGGAAGCCUGGUGAGAGCCCAUGGCCGGGGAGGCUUUUGCAAGGGAACAUUCCUACUGGGCAAAUUUCAGUGUGGACUGAGUCACAAGGCAGUGGAUGGACAGAAUUAUCAGGUAACUAUACUGGAAUGGUGUCUGGGCAUCUGUAGAGAGCAUUUCCAGGAAUGAAUGCUCGUGGGGCUCUUGCUACUAGGAAAAAGGGAGCACAGCACUGGAGGAAGCCUCCUGGAGCAGCACAUCCAGUUGCCUGACCUCAGAGUUCAACACGGAUAUGAAUUUGCUCUUAGAGGACCACAUACAGGGCAGCCAAUUAUGUUACAUGUAAGUGACACAGCUCCACUCCAGGUAUGUCCUUUAGCACAAAAACAGGGGGUGUCACAAGGACAGAGCAGCAAGGAACAAAAGAACAGAACCUCUGCAGGCAUCAGCCAUGUCCUCAUUGUGAAUCCUCCAGCUACACAGCCAGAAAAUUAGGCAGAAACCACACAUGAGCACCAAAGCAUGAUUGCAUGAGUACUUGAGCAGCCCCUGGGCAGGUACAGCGCUGGAUGAAUGGGAUAGGUGAGAGGGUGGCCAUGAUUUUGUAGCAGCAUUAGAGAGAAUUAUAGUCUGAAGCAAACCAGUCAUUUUGGUCAUUCAGAAAGGGUAAUUACACUUUGAGAUCUCUGGGAGGUAAUUUUCUUGUUGGCUGGUAAUCAGCCUGUGUGUUCCUUUUUUCUUAUUUUAAUUAAAAAUAUUGGUUUGCCAUGUUCACCAGGCACCUAGCUCGCUCUGCCUGAGCACAAAUGCUUAAUAGCAUUUUGUAAUUGACUGAAUUGUCUAUGAGUAAAAAAGCCUUGUAAUUUAGUGAGCAUCAUUGAAGUGCUUACUGUUAUACCUGACACAAAGCUAAGGACUCCCACCUUAAGAACUUAGAGACAAGAGUGGUGUUAAAGACAAAUUAAGGCGAUUUUACAUGAGAAUAGCAUGUACUCAGAAAAGUAGAGCUGAUGGAUGGUCAGGGUGAGGCAUUGGCAUUCUGCAGUCGUCCACAACAGCUCUGCUCUCUCAAACUCUUUCAGUCUGACAAGUGAAAGUGGGUUUGAAAGUCAAUGUAUUGAUUUUACCUAAGAGAAACCCGCAACUUUUACAAAUCACUAUGAUCUUCCUCUUGCAACCUUUGUCUUUGGCAGGCUCCCUGGGCAACUGGUGGUCAAUGUUCAGGAGGGUAGAGAUACUGUUUGGAUGCCCUGAUCUCUCCCUCAUCUGGGAUCCAUGGCACAGUUGGUCUGAUACUUUGCUAACUAGGAAUGUUAGAAUGCUGGAAAAUCCCAUGGCAGGGCUCCUGUGAAGGCUGUCCAGGAAGGGUCAGCACACAGCUGGUUCUCUGCCCUGGCCAGAUUUCUGUGCCCUGUGCUCAAUUUUGACCCGAGGUAUCGGUGUUACCCACCUUACUUUUUUUAAAUGGCAAAAAGAGAUAAUUCACAUGGUUAUUCAUGCUGGUGUUUAUUCUUUAUUUGUUUGUGAUUCUCACCAUCUGCCUGCUGAUGUGUGCGUGGAGGAGACCUGGAUAAUUCUGAGGUCCCAGUGCUUUUUCUGCUUGUAGUUCUUCCUGCCCUCAGGAACAUCACCCCGGGGAGAAACAUGAUAAUGGCAUCCUUUGAGAGGACCUGACUGGCAGGGAAUCUCUUGUGGGCUGUUCAGCUUGCAAGGUUGUGUUGCUUCUGCAGGGUAAUGGCUGUUGCUGCAGUCUUCCAGGAGGCAGGAUGGCAUCAAUACCUUCCCCUUCCUGGAACCUCCUGUGAUCUCUGUGGAUCUAAGAGGAGAUGUUUCCACCUCAGGGUAUUCCCCAAGGGAGGAGGAGGAGGAAGAAGCUUCUCUGGUGUCCUGUUCUGCCUGGAUGAUGGCCAGGCUUUGCUUCACACAGCUCUGCAAGAACAGGGAGAGGUUUUCUAUGAAAAACUCCAACUUCCCCCAGGACACUUUUUCUUACAUUCAUAUAUAUAACCCCUCUAGACCUUCAAACUCUAUUUGGAAAAAAACUUUCUAGAAAAUGAUUUCUGAAAUAUCACCUGCUUUGUGCUUUGCAGUCCUGUGAGCUGCCCUGG